CAGAUCCCUCCCCCACCCCUCCUGUCCACUCCUGCAGCCGACGCCCCUCCCUCACCGUCGAUGACCCACGCCGCCGCCGCCGCACACUACCGCGCCCUCCCCUCACCCUGGCCCAAUUCAAUCCAACCCCGCGCGCACACCGCUGCAGCCGCCAUCGACCCCUUCCUCGCAACCAUGGCAUUCGCGCUCCCCCGCCCUCGCCACUGCCUCCUCGACGGUGUUCCCCUCCUUCUCAGCCGCCUUCGCGGCGCCGAGGGGCCGCGCCGCCGUGGCUAGGAGAGUCUCGCUCCGUGGGGCCGCACCCGUGACCUACUACCCCAUGACCUGCUCUCACCUUACAGCACUGGGAGCUGCCAGAUCCGGGAAUCCCCCACCCAUCCAGCCCUCUCCAACCCAUGGCUAGGGUUUCGGUCUCCCUCAAAUUGUUCAACCUCGCCUCACAUACUCCCCCUUCCUCCCAGAUCCACCAGGCCGCACUCCUCCCAUGGCAUCCAUGGCGCGGGUCACCCUACAGCAGCUGAUAUGUGACGAGCGAGGCAGGGAAGAGGUGUUCCUUCUCAUGGUCUACAGUGCAUCUCGCAUUCCAUGACGUCCUUGGCGAGAUGUACGCGACUUCUUCAGCACGUACAACGACACGUGGCAGUGAAGAUCAAAAGCUGCAGCAGUACAACCACGGUUGUGAUAAGAGAAGGACGACCCCUUCCCUUCCUUGCUAGCCAGCUGUUCUGAUUUGAGUUGGUCCAAUCUGAUCCAAUCCUGCCAUGUAGUUUGGUUGUAACAUAGGAGAGGGAUACCUGCAGUUGAGUUUCAGUUUGGACAGCAUUUGACACACAUUAUUGGAGGAUUUGGUUUACUUCAGUUUGUAUGUGCGUUCCUAAAAUUGAAAAUGAAAUUGGUUUGGUGUUAAAUUCCCACAAACCAAUCUGCAACAUUUUUAUUCGACUUGUACUGCAUCAGCAACUUAAAUUUGUCUGUUUUAUUUACCAAAUCUGUAGAGGCUUGAUAGAUAUCAAUUUCACCCUACUGUUAGUUUGCUUGCUCCAGGUCUUGUGGGGUUGGGGAGUGUUGGGUCCCCACUCUGCCGAGCCGCAACAAGCUGGCUGGGGGAGCACUACUGUUUAGUAGUACAUUAUUGCCACCCGUCAGGUUUAUACUAUUGUUUACUAGAUCAAACUUGAUCCAUGCUCCUAUUGGUAUUAGGUGAUCAUGUAGGUCAAGUUAUAUUACAGCUGGAUGCUUAAUUUCUUACUAUCCCUGAUCCAUGCUCCUAUAGAGUUGUUUCUGGCAUACAGGAGGGGAACGGAGAAAUGGCUUGGUUUGUUGACGCUUUUAUUGCUUUACUAAGUACCCGUACAAUUCUUCCAUAAGUGAAAGAAAUUUCUAAAUACAGUUCUUCAACAAGUGUUUUGACAUUCAGUUAAUUUGACAGGUGGCUAUGGAACCUUGGAGGAGUUGCUUAAGUCAUCACGUGGGCACAACUAGGAGUAAACAAGAAGCCGAAAUGCGUGUACAGAGAUUUGCAACCUGAAGGAGCGAUGGAAGUGAAGAUUGAGUGCUUUUCUGUAAGAUUAAUAAUAGAUGGUAUAUUUUUUGGUUCUGAUUUAAGAGUGUUCGAUCUGGUACAUAGUGCAUUUGUUUAGUCUCAAAAUUUCAGUGUUAUUUCUCUAUUUCUCGUAUUAUUCACACUACGUCAUUGGUGAAAGCAUCCUGAAAAGAAUAAUUAAACAAUGGUGUGCUAAAUUAAACUAAAAUGUUUGCUUACUACACCACCACAUUAGCCAUCAAAUUUGUGAUAAGAAAGCUGAAACCUCUUCUUCCUAAAGGAGAGGUCAGGUCCUUGCUUGCGAGAGUCGAUCUAUUUAUCUGCAUUGUGAAGUAACAACAGUUCUUUGGUCCAUGUUAAGAUGUCAAGAAACUGUUUGUUUGUUGAAACAACCAUCAGUCACUCUCAAGAUACUGCUGACUGAUUUCUGUUGCUAGUAUAGUUCAAGCUUCUUUGCCAUGUAUUUCAUUAGGAUGUGAACAAUCUACUGCAUGCUCACAAAGCUAUAGACUUCAAUUUUUUGUUUGUUUGCUGUCAAUAUUUGCCAAGCUAUUUAAACGAUGAUGACAAACUGAAAUCAUGAAUACUCAUAUAGAAACUUGAACAGCCAUCUUGUUUAAUUUGGUGAUGUUCCUCCAUGCUAAGAGCUAAUCUGCUGCAUUGUUAUUCAACUUUCAUUGACAGUUUUAGUUUUGCUGAAAUCAUGUUUUCUUUUCUAUGCUUAUGUCUGUGGACAAACACUACUAGCUCCAGAAGGACGGACAUUACCAUCAAGUACGCCAUCGAGGUGAAUGGAGCUUGUGUUGUUGGUAGAACUCCGUUGAUGACUUCUUCCUAUGUUUAAGAGCAUGUUUUGUGGUAUCCAAGAGUAGCGGUUUAUUUGUAGAUCCCAAUAUUUAUGAUUGUGUGGAUCUAGGUGAAGUUUGAAGUUCCUGGGUAUGCAAGAUUCGAUGGUGAAACAGGUUGUUGUGAUGUGAAUGAAUGUAUGGAAGCUGGUUGUUGUGAUGUGAAUGAGUGUAUGUAGUUUCACGUGUUUUGUUCUGUAUAGCAUAUUGUAAUAAACUUAUUUUAGCUAUUAUUUGAAGAUUUUCA